GAGCAGGCAACAGCACCUUUGCGUGCUAUUAUCUCAGAGAUCAUUCUCGCGCUUAGUUUGCGCCAGCUGCUCUCCCUAGCUAACGCUAGAGACAUCGCACGCGAUGGAUUGUCUUGUGAAGUUGUGAAGCUUUAUGAUCCAAGCCCCAUCCGCAUCCGCAUCCGCAUCCGCAUCGUCUUGCAGUUGAUCAAUGGCACUCUGAAAGCGUUUGGUUGCGUGAUUGUCCUGGGCAUCUUCCAUCUCUUAGACCACAGAGAGACCUUGCUCGUAAACUCUAGCCACUACGUACACAUAAACAUGAAGGUUAUACCUUCUAUGUUUAUGUUGGUAGAGGACACUAUUAGGGUGGUAACGAUCAGCAUCGAAGACAACUAUAAUGACAAUGUGAAAGGGAGCUGCAACCAAAAAAUAGUUGCACUCCUUAUCAGAUUCAGGGUGCGGGAGGUAAGUCCGACUUGGUCGUUUGACUGAGCCAAAUAAGAUCAACCUAAUAUUCUCUGUCUUGAUCUCAUACUUACUCAUUUAUACUUAAAACUUAAUUUCUUGGUCGCUUAAUUUCAUAACUUACACUACGUAUAAAAAUCAAAAAAAUUCGAUCGAGGGUGAAAACCGUAAUUCAUUAUUCUCUCCUCCUCGCGUAGCGCUCUCUCUCUCUCUCUUCCGCCUUCUUCCCCCCAUCUCUAGUAAGCGAGCGAGUAUGGUGGAGUACUGGCCCUGUCCAUGAGGCCCCUCGCCACUGUUACCAUCGAGCGGUCACUCGGUGGUGCCCUAAGGCCCAUGUGCAUCAUCGUGCACAAGACCGUUGGUCGUGCUACGCUCUUCCAUGGCUUGUCGACGGCUAGAUAAAGACACUCCUCCUUUCCCUUAUUUAUGUGCUCGGGUUUCAGAGUUAGGGUUAGAGUUUUGGGGAUUCAGAGAAAUACAGUUAAUGUUAGGCAAUAGAAUAUGUCAUCUGUGGAUAUCCUAGCUGCUAUAGAUAGCAGAUGUAAAUCAGGGAUAGAAUCCUAGCUGCUAUAGAUAGCAGAUGUAAAUCAGGGAUUAGUUGCUAGAUAUAGCAGAUGUAAAUCAGGGAUAAAUCAGGGGAAUUAUCCCUGCCUUGUAAAGCAGGCCAGCCAGCUCUAUAUAAUAGAAGGUGCCCCCUCUCAUUGAGGUGUGGCCAAUUGCCCUCAA